rnacentral:rRNA from 1 species
CCUACGGGAGGCAGCAGUGGGGAAUAUUGCACAAUGGGGGAAACCCUGAUGCAGCGACGCCGCGUGAGUGAAGAAGUAAUUCGUUACGUAAAGCUCUAUCAGCAGGGAAGAAACACUGACCUUACGGUCAGCAGACGGUACCUGAGUAAGAAGCCCCGGCUAACUACGUGCCAGCCGGCGCGGUAAUACGUAGGGGGCAAGCGUUAUCCGGCUUUACUGGGGUUAAAGGGAGCGUAGGCGGUUCGCCCAGGCUGGAGGGAAAUGCAGCGGCUUAACUGCGGAACUGCUUUGGAAACUGGCGAACUAGAGUGCGUGAGGGGUAAGCGGAAUUCCUGGUGUAGCGGUGAAAUGCGUAGAUAUUAGGAGGAACACCGGUGGCGAAGGCGGCUUACUGGACCGUAACUGACGUUGAGGCUCGAAAGCGUGGGGAGCAAACAGGAUUAGAUACCCCAGUAGUC